CUACCCGGCACCGCCACAGCACGACCUAGUGCCCCCAGCAUAUCAGCAGGUGCCACCACAGGACCCCCCAGUCUAUCCCCAGCCGGGUCCAGUCCCUCCUCCACGGGACCCCGCUCCUUCCUUGAUCGAUCCGGGCUACAUAGAGAGGUACAGGAGACUGAACCCCUCCACCUUUGCAGGGGGAUCCUCUUUUGAAGAGGCCCAGUACUGGCUGGCGGAGACUGAGAGAGCUUUUAGGACCUUGGGAGUAGUUCCUGAGCAGAG
rnacentral:lncRNA from 1 species